GCCGCGCGGUGGCACGUGCCUGUAGUCCCAGUCCCAGCUACUCGGGAGGCUGAGGUGGGAGGAUUGCUUGAGCCCAGGAGUUCUGGGCUGUAGUACACUAUGCCAAUCGGGUGUCUGCACUAAGUUUAGCAUCAAUAUGGUGACCUCCUGGGAGCUGGGGACCACCAGGUUGCCUAAGGAGGGGUGAACCAGCCCAGAUCGGAAACAGAGCAGGUCAAAACUGCAGUACUAAUCAGUAGUGGGAUUGCGCCUGUGAAUAGCCACUGCACUCCAGCCUAGGCAACAUAGUGAGACCCCGUCUCUU
ensembl:misc_RNA Metazoa_SRP Metazoan signal recognition particle RNA